rnacentral:rRNA from 1 species
UACGGAGGGUGCAAGCGUUGCUCGGAAUUAUUGGGCGUAAAGGGUAGGUAGGUUGUCUCGUUUGUCUGAGGUGAAAUCCCUGGGCUUAACCUAGGAACUGCCUCAGAAACGGCGAGACUGGAGUACUGGAGAGGGUCGUGGAAUUCCCGGUGUAGAGGUGAAAUUCGUAGAGAUCGGGAGGAACACCAGAGGCGAAGGCGGCGACCUGGACAGUCACUGACACUGAACUACGAAAGCGUGGGGAGCAAAC